GCACAAAGCUGCCUUUGCUGUUACAAACAGCCGACAGAGGGCGCCGGACCAGCGGUAACGGACCCACCAGCGACCCUAACCCGCGGUCGCCGCUUCCUCAAGGAGACCCGCGCUUGGGGUCCGCAGAGUCGAGGCCCGGGCGCUUGGGGAUUAGGGUCCGCAGGCCUCGUGAGCAGCGAGUAAACGCCGCCUUUCACGGCUCUGACUACAGAGGGAGAGCUCUACCGCCGCCUCCCCCGAGACAUUUUUCUCAUGGAACAUUUUAGCGAGACCGUUUUACCAAUGUGCCAAUGUAUUGAGGGGACUGACGGCUCAAAAUCAGAUCGUGCCGUAGUCAGUGUUAGAGAUUCAGGGCCAUUUCUGCGGAGACAGACCCGAAUUCGGAGAAAGGGGAAAAUCAUGAACAAUCAGGAAGCGAGCUUACAAAGUGCUGUCCACCUUUCAGUGGACAGGGCACCCCGCGGGAAAGGGAAAAUGUGUGCCCCAAUGUAGGUGAUUUUGUUAAGUUUUAAUGGUUUUUUUUUUUUCCUACAACAAAGUAGUUGAAAAAACUGAAAACUAUUAAAACACAUUAUUUUAAGUUUAAAUAUGCCAAGACCAGACUUUUUUUUUUUUUUGGUAAGUUUCUGAUUUUAAUGUAGGCAAACAUCAGAAUAUUUUCAAAAUUACUUUUCUGCUUACUCAUUUUCAAUUAAGAACAUUACCAUGUUUGGCAAUAUCUCAUGAAGCAAUAACUACCUUCAUUAAUUUCCACUUAUAGGAACUUUUAAAUCCUACUUGUUUUAAGCAAGGGCUUUCUAUGAAGCAUUCAGCUUUAUAUGCUGUAUAGUCAUGGUUUUCAUUGGAGAAUUUUAUUAACAUUUUCCACUUGGUUCAAAAUGUCAUCCCACAUAGAUAAGUUGCAUAAAAAUGUGUAAUCUCUUUGCAUUAAGAUGCUUUCCAUUUCAGCAUAAUGCAGGUUUGCAUUUGGUAUCAUUUACUGCUUAAUACAUAUCUUAAGUGCCAAUACAUCGAUUUUUAUUUUUAUGCCCUAGAUAUCCUUGAGUGUUUUUAAUGUAGUGGUUAAUUUUAAUGUAGUGUAAUGGGACAUGAUAAUUUCCCAUCUGCUAGUUGAAUUCAAAAAUGUAGCUAUACCCUUUGUACAAUACUUUUAAAAAGUUAUCUUAAUUCACAAAUGCAGAAUUUUACAUAAGAUUAUGAGCUGAGUAAGGCACAAAUGUGACAUAAUCAUUUUGGGUGGGAAAUAAUGGCUUUUAUGCCUUUGUGUACACCUGCCACCAUGGCCUCAUUAUCAUAUACUUGGCUAAUGUCAUUUUUAUGUCCAUAUCAUUUUCUAGUUUAUUAACAAUUUCAUGAACUAGAUAUAUUGAAGUUUUUCUUUCAUUUUAAAAACGUCAAAACAAUUGUUAACAUCAUUCUUAAUGUGAACAUAAUGGACUAUAUAUAUUGUAUAAUCAAAAAAUAAAGUAUUUUGUUUUUA
rnacentral:lncRNA from 1 species